UGUAGGAGCGAGCCUGCUCGCGAUGACGUCAGCACAUUCAAUUCAGGUGUCGGCUGAUAGAUCGCAAUCGCGAGCAGGCUCGCUCCCACA
rnacentral:sRNA from 1 species